CCUACGGGAGGCAGCAGUGAGGAAUAUUGGUCCAUGGGCGCGAGCCUGAACCAGCCAAGUAGCGUGAAGGAUGACUGCCCUACGGGUUGUAAACUUCUUUUAUAAAGGAAUAAAGUGAGGCACGUGUGCCUUUUUGUAUGUACUUUAUGACUAAGGAUCGGCUAACGCCGUGCCAGCAGCCGCGGUACUACGGAGGAUCCGAGAGUUAUCCGGAUUUAUUGUGUUUAAAGGGAGCGUAGAUGGGUUGUUAAGUCAGUUGUGAAAGUUUGCGGCUCAACCGUAAAAUUGCAAUUGAUACUGGCAGUCUUGAGUACAGUUGGGGUAGGCGGAAUUCGUGGUGUAGCGGUGAAAUGCUUAGAUAUCACGAAGAACUCCGAUUGCGAAGGCAGCUUACUAAACUGCCACUGACAUUGAUGCUCGAAAGUGUGGGUAUCAAACAGGAUUAGAUACCCGAGUAGUC
rnacentral:rRNA from 1 species